rnacentral:lncRNA from 1 species
AUGCAGCCCAGGAUACGGCUGGCUUUCUGGACUGCAAGGACACACUGCUGGCUAUCUUCAUACAUGGGCAUUAACCUGCUCUUCUUGCUAGGACAGGACCAAAUAGCUGUACAGGUCUUGGUCAUUCCUGGAAAUCUUCACGGGAUUGAACUUUGCCAAGUCUUCAUGCAAGGUACUUCUGGCCUAACCACUCCGCUCUCAUUCACUGGACACCCUUAAUCCAGAGGUGAGGGCACUGACCAGGACUUGUGGGCAAAUCCCUGAGCCCUACUGAGGAGUGAGUACUCCCUAUUUUCUCUUCAAAACCUCAGCCUUGCACCCUUUUCCUGUUUCCUCUUGACUCUGUGUAGCAGCAUUUUGGUCUGACAUUGUCAUCAUUGGCAUGCCCAGAAGGUCCAUUGUGCCAAACCUUCUCCCCUAACCCAAGGGAGCACCUCCCCUGUGGUGUCCCCUACCCAGGGACCAGCCCAAUGCCCCCUCCUGUCCCACUCUCCUGUCCCACCACCCCAUCCCCAGCCACCAUGGGACUUAGUCAGGCAUUACGCCGGCAGCUUCCAAAUGAAACAGCCUCAGUCUCUGGCCACGCGUUAAGAAACCAAUUUACCCCUUGAUUUAUUGUUAGACUAACUGGAAUUCAGCUAGAAUAUGUAUUAAAUUUCAAUACUUCAUGUGGGCGUGUAUAGAAAUGAAGAAUGCAAGAAAGAAAGGAAGGAAGGAAGGAAAGAAUGAAGUCACAUCAAUGGCAACGGCCAGUUUCUGCUUUCCUGCCAGAAAAUGCUGGUUGGCACAGCGCUGAAUGCUGCCAAAGGUUUCUUUUCACUUGCAGCAAUCAAUAGUGACGUAAAAGCCUGAAGCGUUAAUAUGCUGAAAAGCCCCUCGCAGAAGACUUAAUGAUAUGUUGGCAACUCAAUCAUUCUGCAUUUGUGUUUCAGCAACGUCAAAUGGCAGCAGUUAAGCAGAAACCUGCUGGCAAAUUGACAAACAACAGCCAUGAAGCAAUUAAGUGGCAACGCUGGAGAAUUUUUCAUUACAUGUCCUGAAGAACAAAAGGAGGGGGAAGAAAAUCCACAGACAUGCUUAUUUCCAAUAAAUUCUUCCAGUAGAAAGCUUUGUAGAGCGUGAGCUGCACAGGUAGAGCAGGUGUUGAGUUUCCAAAAGUUAUGGAAAAGAGGUUUUCUCAAUAGGCUCAAAAGCAACGUGAGUUUCAAGCCCACUGGCUUCUGCACCCAGCACCUGAUAAAGGUGGCCACUCUAGGAAAAGUGACACUUGCAUGUUUUGUAGGUACGUCUGCUGUCCUUGGGCUCUUCCUAUUUCACACCCUUUGGGAAGUGAAAAUAAAAGCUUAACUGUAUGCAAUGUAUGUACUUCUUGAGAUAGCAAACAGAGUCUGGAUGUCUGAGGUGAGUAUGCAUGUAGUUUCUGGGUCUGUGCACAAUUAGGGAAGGUGGACACUGAAGAAAGCAUCAAGACCCCAUGUGCAAAAUCACUAGAGAGGCUGACAAGAUUCACC